rnacentral:rRNA from 1 species
AUUGAACGCUGGCGGCAUGCUUUACACAUGCAAGUCGAACGGUAACAGGCCGCAAGGUGCUGACGAGUGGCGAACGGGUGAGGAAUGCAUCGGAACGUGCCCAGUCGUGGGGGAUAACGCAGCGAAAGCUGCGCCAAUACCGCAUACGAUCUGGGGAUGAAAGCGGGGGGCCGUAAGGCCUCGCGCCAUGGGGGUGGCCGAUGUCAUAUUAGGUAGUUGGUGGGGUAAAGGCUCACCAAGCCGACGAUCUGUAGCUGGUCUGAGAGGACGACCAGCCACACUGGGACUGAGACACGGCCCAGACUCCUACGGGAGGCAGCAGUGGGGAAUUUUGGACAAUGGGCGCAAGCCUGAUCCAGCAAUGCCGCGUGCAGGAAGAAGGCCUUCGGGUUGUAAACUGCUUUUGUACGGAACGAAACGGUCCUGGUUAAUACCCGGGGCUAAUGACGGUACCGUAAGAAUAAGCACCGGCUAACUACGUGCCAGCAGCCGCCGUAAGAC